UUCUGCUCCAUGAUACGUUAAAUAGCCGCAGUACUCUGACUGUGCAAAGGUAGCAUAAUCAGUUGGCCUAUAAUUGAGGUCUGGUAUGAAUGAACACUUGGGUAACAACUGUCUAAAUUGAUUUUUCUAAACUUAGUUAACAAGUGCAAAUACUUGUAUAUAUAUAAAAGACGAGAAGACCCUAGAAACUUGAAUAGUUUUUGUUGGGGCGACAGGAUUACAAAUAACUAAUCUUAAAUAACGUGACGUAUCGCAGAAAGAAUAAGUUACUCUAGGGAUAACAGCAUAAUUUAUAUAGUUUGUGACCUCGAUGUUGGACUAGGUACAGCACUCUUUAGAAGAGAGUUAGUAAGCUCUGUUCGAGCAGGAUAACCUACGUGAUCUGAGUUCAGACCGGA
rnacentral:rRNA from 1 species